rnacentral:rRNA from 2 species
UGCAGUCGACGCGUUGGCCCAAUUGAUUGACGGUGCUUGCACCUGAUUGAUUUUGGUCGCCAACGAGUGGCGGACGGGUGAGUAACACGUAGGUAACCUGCCCAGAAGCGGGGGACAACAUUUGGAAACAGAUGCUAAUACCGCAUAACAGCGUUGUUCGCAUGAACAACGCUUAAAAGAUGGCUUCUCGCUAUCACUUCUGGAUGGACCUGCGGUGCAUUAGCUUGUUGGUGGGGUAACGGCCUACCAAGGCGAUGAUGCAUAGCCGAGUUGAGAGACUGAUCGGCCACAAUGGGACUGAGACACGGCCCAUACUCCUACGGGAGGCAGCAGUAGGGAAUCUUCCACAAUGGGCGCAAGCCUGAUGGAGCAACACCGCGUCAGUGAAGAAGGGUUUCGGCUCGUAAAGCUCUGUUGUUAAAGAAGAACACGUAUGAGAGUAACUGUGCAUACGUUGACGGUAUUUAACCAGAAAGUCACGGCUAACUACGUGCCAGCAGCCGCGGUAAUACGUAGGUGGCAAGCGUUAUCCGGAUUUAUUGGGCGUAAAGAGAGUGCAGGCGGUUUUCUAAGUCUGAUGUGAAAGCCUUCGGCUUAACCGGAGAAGUGCAUCGGAAACUGGAUAACUUGAGUGCAGAAGAGGGUAGUGGAACUCCAUGUGUAGCGGUGGAAUGCGUAGAUAUAUGGAAGAACACCAGUGGCGAAGGCGGCUACCUGGUCUGCAACUGACGCUGAGACUCGAAAGCAUGGGUAGCGAACAGGAUUAGAUACCCUGGUAGUCCAUGCCGUAAACGAUGAGUGCUAGGUGUUGGAGGGUUUCCGCCCUUCAGUGCCGGAGCUAACGCAUUAAGCACUCCGCCUGGGGAGUACGACCGCAAGGUUGAAACUCAAAGGAAUUGACGGGGGCCCGCAAGCGGUGGAGCAUGUGGUUUAAUUCGAAGCUACGCGAAGAACCUUACCAGGUCUUGACAUCUUGCGCCAACCCUAGAGAUCGGGCGUUUCUUUCGGGAACGAAUGACAGGUGGUGCAUGGUCGUCGUCAGCUCGUAUCGUAAGAUGUUGGGUUAAGUCCCGCAACGAGCGCAACCCUUGUUACUAGUUGCCAGCAUUAAGUUGGGCACUCUAGUGAGACUGCCGGUGACAAACCGGAGGAAGGUGGGGACGACGACAGAUCAUCAUGCCCUUAUGACCUGGGCUACACACGUGCUACAAUGGACGGUACAACGAGUCGCGAACUCGCGAGGGCAAGCAAAUCUCUUAAAAUCGUUCUCAGUUCGGACUGCAGGCUGCAACUCGCCUGCACGAAGUCGGAAUCGCUAGUAAUCGCGGAUCAGCAUGCCGCGGUGAAUACGUUCCCGGGCCUUGUACACACCGCCCGUCACACCAUGAGAGUUUGUAACACCCAAGUCGGUGGGGUAACC